UACAAACACACAGAAAUGUCAUUAAGGCAGCAAACAGCCCCACUGGCCUCCGUAGAGGCCUUUUCUAGCAGGCUCAAGUUACCUAAAAUCAAUAUUUGAACAAGGACAAAACCACAUGUUUUCAAUACCAAAUUAGAGGGGUCUAACAUCAGGCCUGGAGAGGUGGUUCCAGCAGGCACAUUCCAGCCAGCCCGGUGCUCUACUCUUGGGGCUGACUGGUCUGCUCUGGCUCAGGCAAGCUCACACAGCCCCAAACUUCUCCUAUGUAUCUGCCCUCACCUGACAGGUGACACUGACAGACAGAGGAAGCAAGAACUGGGAACUUUAACAGAACGAGGCCUAGGGCCUGAGUACAAAGCAAAAGAAGUGAGAUGUCCCUUCACGCGAUCUUCAGAAACUUGUUCAGGAUCUGUACCAAGUGCUGGAGCCUCAAAGCUGUUGAGUGCCAUCAUGAGAAGCAGCCCAUCCUCAGUUACUUGGAAAAGGAAAAGGCCACAAGAAGAAAGAGGCAAUCACUUUGAUCAGUUCUGAAAGAGUCCAACAUCCAAGUUUUUGACUCUCCAUUGAAAGCCAAAUCCUGCAAGAGACACAAGCAACUGCAAAAUACCCUUGUCUGAACUGCUCAGGUGCUUUAGGUACAGGAGCUGCACAUGAACCCACAGAGAGGAGCUCCUCUCUAACGUUGCCUUGGGAUAAAAGAUCAUCAUAAGCUGUUGUAUUGCAUUUAAACCUUUAAUUUUCACUCUGAGUUAGUCUUUGUACUGAUGUCCUUAUAUAUUAUUGCUUUUAAUUCUUAUAAAAGACAAUGAGGAAGAUAUUGUCUACAUUUUAACCCAUGGAAAGAAACAUAUUAUUUGAUUUCUAAAACAGAUUUGUUUUGCUAAGUGAAAGAUUUUGCAGUGGGUGGAAGUAUUGACUCCAGAGUUGAUGCUUAUUACCCUUAACCUUGGUAUAAUAUACAGUUUCGACAAGAUGCAGAGUCCACCUCCCAGUGACUUUACAAAUAUUCAAUAAUAUAUGAGCUACUGCAUAGAGUGAAAGUUGAAAUGGAGAAAAAGAAAAGAAACAAGGGAUCUCUGACCCAAGUGCACAAGACAAGAUUAUUGUAGGACCAUUUCAUCUAGUUAGAAGACCAAUAAUUCCUACCAUUUAGGUGAAUUUAAUUUAUUUCACACUGAUCAUUAUUGUGCUCAUUGCUA
rnacentral:lncRNA from 1 species